rnacentral:rRNA from 1 species
UACGUAGGGUGCAAGCGUUGUCCGGAAUUGAUUGGGCGUAAAGAGCUCGUAGGCGGUUUGUCGCGUCUGCUGUGAAACCCGAGGCUCAACCUCGGGCUUGCAGUGGGUACGGGCAGACUAGAGUGCGGUAGGGGUGACUGGAAUUCCUGGUGUAGCGGUGGAAUGCGCAGAUAUCAGGAGGAACACCGAUGGCGAAGGCAGGUCACUGGGCCGCAACUGACGCUGAGGAGCGAAAGCAUGGGGAGCGAACAGG